rnacentral:sRNA from 1 species
UCCCGCCUUGUAGUCGCAGGGUCGCACG